UUUUUUUUUUUGCUGUUUCUCUGAUAACAUUCAGGCACUAUGGCAACAUUUGAGACUGCGAUAUCUCCAUCAUCUAUUAAUCGUCAAAAAAUGACCAAUUUUAAAAGUCUUGUAUUUUUUGCUGUCUAUAUGGCGUUUUAUUUCUCCAUAGCAAUAUUUGCCAUAGCAACUCAG